AGAGGGUGCAAGCGUUAAUCGGAAUGACUGGGGCGUAAAGCGCACGUAGGCGGUAUAAUAAGUUAGAUGUGAAAUGCUGGGGGGCGUUAACCUCGGGAACUGCAUCUAAAACUGUGAUACUAGAGACCAGGAGAGGGGAGUGGAAUUUCCGGUGUAGCGGUGAAAUGCGUAGAUAUCGGAAGGAACACCAGUGGCGAAGGCGGCUCUCUGGCCUGGGACUGACGCUGAAGAGCGAAAGCGUGGGUAGCGAACAGGAUUAGAUACCCUGGUAGUCCACGCUGUAAACGAUGAGAACUAGCUGAUUGAGUGCGACGACACUUGAGUAGCGAAGCAAACGCGCUAAGUUCUCCGCCUGGGGAUUACGGCCGCAAAGGCUA
rnacentral:rRNA from 1 species